rnacentral:vault_RNA from 13 species
GGGCUGGCUUUAGCUCAGCGGUUCCUUCGAUCAAUCAAGCUUAGUCACUUGGGCCGGUGGCUUCCAUCGGUCCGGUGGUUCGAGACCCGCGGGCGCUCUCCAGUCCUUUU